rnacentral:lncRNA from 1 species
GUUUAUUUGUAAUGAAAAGCUAAUUGCCAAUAUUUCUAAUCAAGAGAUUUCAAACUAAAACACCCAAGUAAACAUCCAACUGAUCACGAGAAAUCGGUGUCGCAGCACUUGAGCAAGACAGAGGGGUGCCAGAUGGCCCUGGUCCCCCGCCCCGCCUCUAGGGAUGCGCCUCCAAAAAACGCCUCCCUGGAUAACCCGCCACCUAAGGACAACCGUCUGGGGACCGCUCGGCGGGCGCCUAAUUGGCUGCGGACUCCGAACCUCUUGGCGCGCCUCGCUCUCCGGCUUGUGAGCCCUGGAGCCCGCAGAUCGGUCUUGGGACUUCUAGGGCCGGGAGGCGCGGGCGGAGAGGACUGGCGAGUCCAAGGCGCUGCUCGGAUUCCUCGGCGCCGGCCUGCCCGCAGGCCUGCUAUUGCCCACCGGCUACGGGGCCCGGCCUCCCCGCCGCGCCUCUAAGCAGGGGGACUCCCCGGCGGGCGCGCCACACAACGUCUCCCUCUGGCGCGCGCACCGGCCACUCCACAGCCCGGCCGCCGAGGACGCCGCGUCGCCGCCGCAGCCUGGCGCGCUCCCGACCCGCCAGCCAAUAGCCAGAGUCGCUCGGUGCACGUGAUACGCGUCAGCCAAUGGAGAGUCGAGGAGGUCCGUGACGCAAUGGACAGCUCCUAGGGUUUUCGAACCCGCGGGCGAGGCUAAAAGGCUGAUCAGGGCUGUGUGGUCGAGCGCUGAGCCUACGGCGUGUGCGUAGAAAGCGCGAGGACCCUCAGGGCGGUGAGAGAGCGCGGCUGCCAGCCUGCAGCACGGGGCAUUGACUCCCCAGGCGCCCCGUGCAGAGUCGCAGGGCACUAUCUUGGAUGUUUUAUUGCUGUGAAGAGACACCGUGACCAUAGCAGCUCUUCUAAAGGAAAUCGUGUAAUUGGGACUCACAGUUUCAGAGUGACCGGCCGAGGGUGAGCACCUGACCAGUGCUUUGGAAAUGGCUUUAUGUUUAGGUUUCGAGACGAUACAUGGUUGGAGAAAAUGUACUGUGUCUGUUACUCACUGAAUCACACGACACCUGACCAAACAACUUAAGGAAAGAAAGGCUGAUCUCUAAAGCAGGAGCUAACGUGACCUCUGAACUCAGCUCCUGACAUAGCCAGGACUAUGCGCAGCACCACAUCUGUCCAUUUCGGUUUUACAUGAGGGAUAGAAGGACCCUAAGGGACACAGUGAAUAAGCGGAGGAAAUGAAGGGUUAAAAACCCCAGAACCGAGUGACUACAGUGUCCAAGUCGAUUUUCAGCAUUAUAGCGUAGCCUCUUUUUUUUUUUUUUUUUGUUCUUUUUUUUCGGAGCUGGGGACCGAACCCAGGGCCUUGCGCUUCCUAGGUAAGCGCUCUACCACUGAGCUAAAUCCCCAGCCCCACAGCGUAGCCUCUUAAAAGUCCACACAUCGCUUCCAGGGACUAAGCCACUACUUAAAGACUAUACAUGGACUGACCCUGGGCUCCAACCUCAUAGGUAGCAAUGAAUAUCCUAGUAAGAGCACCAGUGGAAGGGGAAGCCCUGGGUCCUGCUAAGACUGAACCCCCAGUGAACUAGAUUGUUGGGGGGAGGGCGGCAAGGGGGGGAGGAUGGGGAGGGGAACACCCAUAAAGAAGGGGAGGGGGGAGGGGGAUGUUUGCCCGGAAACCGGGAAAGGGAAUAACACUCGAAAUGUAUAUAAGAAAUAUUCAAGUUAAUAAAAAAAAGAAAAGAAAAAAGUCCACACAUCACUCAGCAGGAGGGCUCUGGACCUGGUUGGGUUUGGGUCUGGGGAGGUAAUACAGUAGUAAAGUACUUGCCUGGGAUGUGUGUGUGAAUGUCGGUCCCAUCCUAGCAUUGCUGUACAGAAGAGAGAGAAACUUCAGGAACUGAUACAUGACUGGUAUAGUGCACAUUUGUGCAUGUUAUUACGAUUAGAUCCUGACACAUAGCUCCUUAUGACUCAAACGACUUCCAUAUCUACCUCCUCGUUGAUGCUUACAAAGCCCCAUGGGGUAUUUAUUCUUACCCUACAAAUGAAAAACCAGAUCAGUAAUUCAUGGCUUGUCCACUUGCAGCAGGUGGGAGACUGAUGUCACGUCAACACCUGUACGAUCUCAGAGGCCUGUGCAGUUCCCAGGAUCCUGUCUUCCAAGGCUUCCCACUCUGAUAGGUCCAUGUUCACUUUCUAAAUAGUCCUUGGGACGACCAACUCGACAGGAUUCACUACCAUUUCUAGGACAGUAAUUGUGACAUGGCACAUUUAGUGUUAAGAAAGAGAAAUUAGGGCACUGAAGAGAUGGCUCAGUGGUUAAGAACACUAGCUGCUCUUGCAGAGGACCUGGGUUUGAUUCCCAGCACCCAUAGAGUGGCUCACAGCCACCUGUAACUGCUGUUCCAGGAGAGCUGAUGCCCUUUUCUGAUCUCCACAGGGACCGGGCAUACAAGUGGCAAACAGACAUACAUGCAAACAAAACAUUCAUACAAUAAAAAUAAGGAUGUAAUUUUAAAAAAGAGAGAGAGAAAGAGAUUAAUCAGGAUAAGCCUGGCCUAAUCGAAUGAAAUUUUCGAGGUAGAGAUCUCUGGGAGUGGCAGCAGGGAUCAGAGGUUCAAAGAACAAGAGUUCUCACUGGUUUUGCUUUGCAAAUGGCGGAGGCCUUGAAAAGCUGAGAAUAAUCCUUGUCUAAAGCCCAGCAAAAAAACCAAAACCAAACAAACAAAAAAGCAAAACAAAAACAAACAAAAAUCAAAAACAAAAAACAGGACCUGUGUCCACAGCGGGGAGGAGCAGAGUCUUACCAUCUAGAAUGAGUUUGGAUCUUCUCCAGAACCUUCAGGUGGAAACCGCCUCCAACAUUUGAUUCCUCUAACCAGACCUUGAGUGAAGAACUGGGAGGUGAUAGACGAUUAUUUUAAGCCUCCAAAUUAAUUUAUGCAGCAACAGAAAGGAGAUUUCUGUAUCAUUUCUUAGGCUCCUAAAAGUACAGAGGCCCCUGCUCAAGUGCCCGCCUUCGGUGUCCAUACAGCAAUGGCAAAGUGGUUUCUGAAGCCCAGAGGUGGGAGCACACAUAAAGGUUACAUCGCUUGGAUACUGAUGGAGGCUGAGAGGUCUGCCAAGCCAUUGCCAUGGGACCAGUCCCAAUCGUCAGCACUCAUCAAGUCUGUAGAACUCAUAAAUCCCCUUCCUUUAUUUGAUCUGUUGCACAGCCCCUCAAAAGGAUGACGUUGUUAACCUCUGCUUCCCCGGGCUAGAUUUGCCUUUGUUACUGAAAAGUCGAUACAGUAUCAACUAUACACUUUUGGGGCUUCUUGACUGCUGCUUCCACCUGCAACGCAAUUGCAACAUUGUAUUAGUCUCCCCCCCCAGGAGUGAGAACCGCUCACCCAGAAGCUGCUCACAUGGGUCAGCUGGUUAACCUACUUGCCGUUUUGGUUUUUUGAGACAGGGUUUCUCUGUGUAGCCCUGGCUGUCCUGGAACUCACUUUGUACUGCAGGGUGGCCUCAAACUCAGAAAUCUGCCUGUCUCUGCUUCCCGAGAAAUGGGAUUAAAGAUAUGCGCCAUCAGGCCUGGCAGUAAGUUAAUUUUAAGAAAUUUUAUUAUUUAUUUUUUUUAUCGUGUCAGAGAAUGACCCGUGUCAGUUCUCCAUCUCCUCUACAUGGACUGCGGUGUUCGCAGGUCCAGGCUUGGAGGCAAGCACUCCUACCAACUGAACUUACAUGGUGGCUCACGACUAUCUGAAACUCCAGCCCCAGGGAUUCUGACGCUCUCUUCUGACCUCUUGUCGCUUUCUGACGUGGCGAAGCUCUAGGUUCUGCCUGUCUCUUCCUCUGCAAUGCUGGGACUUCAGAUACUUAUUACAUGUGUUCUGGGGAUCUGAACCCAAGCCCUUAUGCUUUGGUGGCAAAUACUUGGCUGAUGUAGCCAUCUCCUAGCCUUUGGAUGCAAAGUAUCUUCCGUAUUAUCAGUAAGUCAACGAUCUCAGGAAUAAUAAGGACAGUCUUACAUCUAUCCAUCUAAGGUCUCUGGAGCCUUAGGACUAUAUUGUUAAGUCUGUUAGAUACUUUUCCACCUGUCUUCAAGGAACGUUCCCAAGGCAGAGAAUGGGGACUGUUUUAGCAUUCUAGAACUCAGACUGCUUCUUAUGAUUACCUUUCACCACUGGCAUUGAUCCCUUAGACUCAGUGAGAACCUGGGAAUCAUCUUCCAUCUAUCCCCCUCUGCCUCCUGACCGCCUGGCUUGCAGAUUGGACCUCCUCAGAACCACUUGAGUUAACAUGAUCUUACCCACUUUUGUUACAAUCUCCCUGUCUCAGACCAUCAUGAGGUCACUGCACCAGCCUAUGUGAGCCCUCUGCCUAGUCUUGACUGCUCUGAUCUAACACACAAACUCUCUAAAUAUAGUUCUGACCAUGCCACUGCCUCUUCAAAUGCUUUAAUCCCCCCCCCCAUCCCAAGUCUAAACCCCUUAGGAUGGCCUCGAGGGGCUUCAUGAUCUUGCUUGUGACCCCUCUUCCCAGCUCCACUUUCCCCAGUCUUUAAACCUAGCUGUGCAAACUUUGGCCACUUUGUCAGAGAAGCUAAGCCCUCUCUUGCCUUUGCCUGGCUCCUCUUUUGUCCCGAAUGCACCCCUUUCCUUUCUACAUUCUUUACAAUGUUGCAGAGUUAUGAGUUCUUCAGGGAAGAACUUGCCCAACCCCAGCCCCACUCCAUAAGCCCAGGAAUUAAAUGUCCAUCCCAAAAGAGCAUUGUAUAAUUGCGCUUAGCAGUUUAUCAUGAGCUUUUACAUCAUGAUUUAGUUUCUGCAAAAACACUAGACGUAUAUCCAUUUCAUAGAUAGGGAUCGUGGACAUUAACCUAUAAGAUUAGUCAGCUGAAUGCCAAACAGGAGAAGCAUGGUACCUUUAUACCUAUUGGAACUAAAUCACAAAGCAGACGGUGCCUGCUCCAGACAGUGACCUAGUGCUACAAGCCCAGAAACCAUUGCUCUGCAUUUCACAUCAUCCUACACCUUCACUCUGAUCUGGCCUGGCAGGAAGCCACCCUCUGUAGUUCAGCGUUUCAGGUUGAGGGGAUGUAUCUUUAAACGCUGAAAAUGUCAUUUUCCCUGACAUUUAUGAAAGAGCUUCCAGACAUGAAAGACAAUUAGCCAAUGGCUUUGUUGAUUAAUUCAUCACUUAAUUAAUGUGGAAAGGACACUUUGAAAUAGUCAGAUGAAAGGCUUGGAUAAGGGCAAUCAGAACAGACCACUUCCCUGAUGGUCCAGGCCCUGGUGGUGUGGGCUGUUCAGAAUAGAAACCCUGAUCGAGUCGGCAGCAAGAGAUUUCAUGGAGAGCGAAAAAUAGAGCUCAUACCUGUGCCUUGGGUCCGUGGUGCAGCAGAAAGGGUGGUGGUUGAUGAUCAAUAACAAGUGGAACCGUGGUGUGCAGCCUCUAGCACUCAGCAGGACGGUCGCAGUCCUGGGUUUCUGGAAUGAGCAGGUUUUGGAAACUCUUGACUUGCUGUUGGAUCUCCACAGAGGAUGACAGCCUUAACCAUGGAAAGCGAGGUAACCAUGUGACCAAAGCUCUCUGGCACCAAAUAGCAUUUCCUGCAAACUCACUCCUAAUACUGGUAAUAAACUACGGAGAUUCUUUUAAGGAAGUCAACAACACUCCACUAACAUCACCAUAACAGACAAAUCACUGGAGGUUGAUUGUAAGCAAAGGUCAGAAUUCAUUUGCCACAGUCCCAGAGGCUGGAAGUCCAGGAUCAAGGCCUUGCUGGAUGUGGUGCUUGACAAGGCUUCCAAGAUCAAACCUUGAAUGCCCCAUCCUCUGGAGGACAGGGGACAGGAGAGCAAAAGGCAACCAAGGUAGAGGAAUCUCAGCUUCUCUCUGGGCCUCUUAUAAGGACUCUGUCCAUGACUUCAUCAGCCCGUACAGCGCUCCCUCCAACACUGUCCAGCUGACCACUGUAUGUUGCUUAGAAACUCUAGGAGUACACACAGACCCCAACAAGGCUUUGGAUCCAUGACUCCACCGGAUGGAUUCGUUCACUUGCUGUCUGUUGACUUUAUCUCAGCGAAGUUUUGGCAUUCUGAAUAUAGGUCUGUACAUGUUAAAUUUACCCCUAAAUUCUGCAUAUUUUAACCCUAUUAUAAACUAGCCCUGUUUUAGAUUUUUAUUGUUAGCUAUUAAGGAUGGUUUUUAUUGACUUUAUUCUGAAAUCACUGACUAACCUCAUUUAUUAAUUCAUGAAAAUUCUCUGUCAAUUAUGAUUUUCUGCACCUGUGAAUAAGAAGAUACUGUCACCUAAUUCUUUGCAAAUUUAUAUGUAUUAGUGUUUUGAGUGCAUGCCUGUCUAUGAACCACAUGCAUGGGUAGUGCCCACAGAGACCAAAAGAAAGUGUUAGAUUCUUUGGAACU